AUUAUUUUGGCAGAUUAGUGCGUUGGAUUUAGAAUCCUUUGAUGUGGUUUAUAUCACAAAUAGUA
rnacentral:tRNA from 1 species